ACAGCUGUGCUUUUUGGCAGUGAACAUGAACUCACAUCUGUCAGUGCUGUCAGCCAUGGAGCCCUCUCCUGUCCCAUCCUGAGCUGAUAUCCAGCACUGUCUGUGGUUUACCCCACCCAAGAUCACACAGUUGGCAACUGUCUGAACCUAGUUUCAAACCCUGAGUCAGCUCAAUUCCAAAGGUCCAGUGAUUUCCAGACAACUAAAUAAUGCACCAUUUAAAAUUCUUCAGUAAGAACUUGUAGUCAGUGCUUUUAGUCUAUACAGGAUAUCAGUUUGUUCCAGGCAGCACUAAUGUGCAUAACAAUAUUGAAUGUCUUUCAUUUUAAGACAAUUGUAAGAUUUAAUGAGGACAUCAAUGUAAUAAUAGCUUUGGGGAAGCAUAAAACACCA
rnacentral:lncRNA from 1 species